rnacentral:rRNA from 5 species
AUUCUGGCAUCGAGCUAUUUUGCCGCAGGACCUCCCCUACAGUAUCGUCACCGCAGUAGAGUUUAACCACCAAAUUCGGGAUGGAUUGGUGUGGUUCCUCUACGCCUAGGACACCAGAAUA